rnacentral:tRNA from 1 species
GCCGCGAUGGCACAAUCUGGUACUGCGCAGGAUUGCUAAUCCUGUUUCCUUUGGAUAUCUGGGUUCAAAUCCCAGUCGCGGCG